AGACCGAACUCGGCCAUGGCACUUAUAUCAAAGGUUUAGAGACUACGUGCACAUAUGAUUCAUCAACAGAAGAGUUUAUUUUAAACAGUCCGACGUUAACUUCGUACAAAUGGUGGCCCGGCGGAUGUAUGUUUUAUAUAUAACGAAUGUCAAAACAAUUUAUCAACAUUCAACGCUGGAUAAAAUUAUAAUUUCAGUGGGCCAUAGUUGUAAUUACGCUAUUGUUGUCGCUCAACUCUACACACAAGGGAUACAUCGCGGAUUGCAUCUGUUCAUUGUGCAGAUAAGAGAUUCGGAAACGUGGAUGCCUAUGCCAGGUGCAUGUUAUUUUUUGAUUAAUUUUAAUAACAAGAAUCACGUUAUUAUUGAAAAACAAUUAUAUUUAUCUGCCAGGAUAAAAAAAUAACUAAAACAUUGAUAUAGGAAUCACGGUCGGUGAAAUCGGCAGUAAAUUCAGUUUGAACUCUACCAACAAUGGGUACGUGGCAUUUGAUAAUGUCCGAAUACCUCGAAUGCAAAUGUUAAUGAAAAAUUCGAUAGUUCAUAAGGUAAUGAGUUAAUGGUGUCGUGAUGAACGAUGUUUUUUUAAUGCGAUUGCAUGGAUCUAGAAAUAUGUUAAACUAUGAAAGGAGGGGAGAGAGUCGGGGUGAUCAUUUUUUAAUACUUCACUUAAGAUUUCUUAUGACGCCAUUACGUGAUGAUGUUAACUGGUUAAAUUAAUUAAGUAUAUAAAUCACAAUGCGUAAUUAAAAAUUGAAAUUUUGAGUAUAGGAUGGAACUCACGAAGUUGUAACUCGGGAUAUAUUGACAUACAGUACGAUGGUAUUCGUACGGGUAGCAAUUGUCAAAACCGUGAUUAACAACUACUUAAUGCGGUCAGCUGUAAUCGCAAUCAGGUACAGUGCGAUUCGGCGGCAAUCGAAAUUAAAACCUGGGUAAUAUAUUAUAUUUCACAAUAUAUACGGUAUAUUAUGUUACGUUGGUUUAUACUUACUUGCGGUACAGGGAACGCGAGCCACAAAUAUUGGACUACCAAACGCAACAGUACAAACUGUUUCCGACCAUUGCUACGUGUUUAGUGUAUAAAUUUGCUGCAAAAUGGCUAUGCGAUAAAUACUCUACUGUAAAUUCAGACAUAGAACGAGGAGAUUUAAAACAAUUACCAGAGGUUGGUACACUCAAUAAAUUGAGUUUCUUAAUUAUUAAUAUUAUCUGUUAUAAAGUAUAUUGCAGUUAAUGAUUUAAAAACCAUAGUGAAUGCAUACGAAUUUUGACUACGCAUUAUUUAAUACGUUAUACCUUCUUCUACAUUAAUAAUAGGAAGUGUCUGUCUAUCUGGGCACGGCGAACAGCCAAAUAUAUCGCUUAUAAGAAUGCAAUCUUUUUUUUUUUUAAAUAUAUUGGUUACCAAAAUGUUAUUAAUUAUUUAUUAGUGUUAGUAUGAACUAUGAAGAUGGUGGUUUUCUAUCACAUAAUAACAAUUCUUUUUUGUAAUUGGUUAGUAUCUAUGGUAAGCUUUUGGUUUACCAGAGUGUUUAUACGUUUUUACUUCAUGACUAAAUACGUUAAUUGCCUACUUAACGUGUUGUUGAAUCUAGUAAAACAAUUUCAUGUACAUUGUACACGCUCAUAAAUAUUAAUUACAAAAAAUGACUGUUAUUGUUUACUGUAUUAUUAAUAAUGCUAAGAUGAUUUUAUCGUAUUAUUAUAUUUAUACAUAGCAAUUGGUUUAGGAGUUUAUACUGCAUUUGAAAUCAGUAAAUAUACGAGUCGUUGGAAUUGUCUCUUUAGCAAGUAUAAUAAGUGGUGAAAAUUUGGCGAUGCACAAGUCCUUUAAGAAACUCUUGUUAAAUUAUAUUAUUUUACGGUUUUGAUAGUCAAUAGAAUGGGGAAAUCAAAAAAAUAAUUAUAAAAUCAAUCUCUGUAAAAACUAAACAAGAAAAUGGAUAAAAAUUAAUAAUCGCACGGGUUAUUUCGAUUUCUCGGUUUUUUAAGGUACAAUAUUUUAGUCAUAACCCUACCAUACCUAUGUGUCAAUAAAAAUUGACCACCUCUUAAUGAAGUAAACUGAUUUUCCCUCCAGUAACUCGUGUCUCCCUAAAAUACGGGCCUGCUAAUGAGCCACAAAAUAUUAUAAAUUUUCCCUGAUCUAUCUAAAGCCCCAUUCCGCACCUGGUGGUCAAUGUAUAUUGACGUGUAUAUUCACGCAUAAAUCGGUACAAAUGUUUAUAAUCCAAAAUUGAAUUUCGAAUAAAAAUGUUCUUAAAAUAUAAUUUAUAGCUACACGCUAUGGCGUGUUGUUUAAAAGCUGUCUGUACGGCAGAUGCGGCUAUGGGCGUCACGAAUUGUCGUUUAGCAUGCGGCGGUCAUGGUUAUAUGACCAGUAGUAAUCUACCUAACAUUUAUGCGCAAACCACCGCAGCAGAAACUUAUGAAGGAGAAAACACAGUAUUACUUUUGCAGACAGCUAGGUACUUACUACUAGUAGCAUUAAGUUAUUGUAACGAUUUUAACAAAAACAUAAUACUUAUUACCGAUUGUUUAUUACCUAAUUCAAAUUAUUUUUAAACUUUAUAGAUUUUUGAUGAAAUCGUAUCACGAUGUGAAAAUGGAAAAUAUGCCGUUGUCGAACACUAUAUCUUAUCUGAGAGAUUAUACAGAUUUGAACAAAUUCCGAUGGACUACAACAUUAGAAUGUAUGGCAAAUGCAUUUUAUCAAGUCGCCGGAAGGUAUACGAGAUUUAUUUUACAACAAAAUGUUUAACUUGCUAACUUACUAUUAUAUUAAUUUUAAACAUAUUUUAGUAAGAUCGAAGACUGUUAUUCAACCAUAAAACGGAUGGUGAACUCUGGAGUUACUCAGGAGGACGCUUGGAAUCAAACGUCCAUCAAACUAACUCAAGCAUCUGAAGUACAUAAAUACCAUUUUAAUAAUUUAAAUAAGGAAAUUAAAAAACUUCAUCUAACACGGUUUAUACUUUUCGUGUUUUAUAAAGAAAAAUCACUCUCAACACGAAUAUAUUCUCUGUCUAUGGGCGUAAAAAUUAAUAUUUUAAAUCUCUCCUCUCGUUACACGUUACACAUGUCGAUGGUCGUAUCUUUAUUAUCCUUCUCUUAAACAGUAUUUCAGAAGCAUCAGAUUUUCUAUCGAAUAUCUCAUUUAGUGUUCCUAAUAAUCACACCAGACUACCACAGACUAUUCCCUACACUUACACAUUAUUUUCAAAUUUAUUAAGUUAGUAUAUAUGUAUAUAUUUUAUUAAUAUAAGUAAAAGUUAAAUUAUUGUAAUAUUUUACUUGAUUUUUAUAGGCACACUGCAGAGCAUUUGUUAUCAAUGUUUAUCUAAAAACUCUCCAGACGCUUACAUUUUCGACCGAGUUAAUGAAAGUACUCAUCGAUCUGGGUGAACUUAUUUGUGCAUAUUGGAUAAUAAAUCGACUUGGAGAUUUUCUUCAGGUAAAUUAUUUUCUUCAGCUGUUAUAAUAAUUUCAUGUUUUUAUAUGUACGCGAUUUUGUUCACAGUUCUCGAAUCUUAAAAUUAACGACGUGCCUUCGGUACAAUUGUUGUUUGAAGACUGCUUAAAACGUAUCAGACCAAAUGCAGUUGGUCUUGUCGAUAGUUUUGAUAUUCGCGAUGAAGUAUUAGACUCGUCGCUUGGCUGUUAUGACGGGAACGUCUACGAACGGAUUUUCGAAGAAGCUAAAAAAAGCCCUUUGAACAAAGAACCCGUGAAUCGUUCGUUUGAAUUGUACUUGAAACCAUUUAUAA
rnacentral:lncRNA from 1 species